rnacentral:rRNA from 1 species
UCGCGUGCGGGGAAGACGGCCCUACGGGUUGUAAACCGCUUUAGCCGGGGAGUAAACGGGCGCCACGCGUGGCGCCGUGAGAGUACCCGGAGAAUAAGCAUCGGCUAACUCCGUGCCAGCAGCCGCGGUAAUACGGAGGAUGCGAGCGUUAUCCGGAUUCAUUGGGUUUAAAGGGUGCGCAGGCGGCGCUCCAAGUCAGCGGUCAAAUCGCCGGGCUCAACCCGGUGCCGCCGUUGAAACUGGAGUGCUCGAGUAGGUGCGACGGAGGCGGAAUGCGUGGUGUAGCGGUGAAAUGCAUAGAUAUCACGCAGAACCCCGAUUGCGAAGGCAGCCUCCGAGCCCCCGACUGACGCUGAGGCACGAAAGCGUGGGUAUCGAACAGGAUUAGAUACCCUGGUAGUCCACGCGGUAAACGAUGAAUACUGGUUAUCCGGCGCGAUUGUGCGCUGGGUGACUCAAGCGAAAGCAUUAAGUAUUCCACCUGGGGAGUACGCCGGCAACGGUGAAACUCAAAGGAAUUGACGGGGGCCCGCACAAGCGGAGGAACAUGUGGUUUAAUUCGAUGAUACGCGAGGAACCUUACCCGGGCUCAAACGCGCAGAGACAGCCGCGGAAACGCGGUCUCCCCUCGGGGCCCUGUGCGAGGUGCUGCAUGGUUGUCGUCAGCUCGUGCCGUGAGGUGUCGGCUUAAGUGCCAUAACGAGCGCAACCCCCAUCUCCAGUUGCCACCGCGUAGAGGCGGGCACUCUGGAGAGACUGCCGGCGCAAGCUGUGAGGAAGGCGGGGAUGACGUCAAAUCAGCACGGCCCUUAUGUCCGGGGCGACACACGUGUUACAAUGGCGGGGCACAGAAGGAAGCCAGGCUGCGAGGCCGAGCCGAUCCCGAAAACCCGUCUCAGUUCGGAUCGGAGUCUGCAACCCGACUCCGUGAAGCUGGAUUCGCUAGUAAUCGCGCAUCAGCCAUGGCGCGGUGAAUACGUUCCCGGGCCUUGUACACACCGCCCGUCAAGCCAUGGAAGCCUGGAGUGCCUGAAGUGCGUGACCGC